UGGGGAUUAGUAUAGUGGUAGUACAGCGGACUCUGACUCCGUAGGCCAAGGUUCGAAUCCUUGAUCCCCAGCAA
rnacentral:tRNA from 1 species